GGUAAAUCUAAUAUUUCAGGCCAAAACCCUAUUUCCCCAAUUUCGGCCAUAUUUCCCCAAUUUCCUCUAUCUCUAUCUCUCUAUCGAUAUUUUUUUCUUCUGCGAUUUCUCUUCCAUUCCAUCAGUGUUGUUGAUUAUUCUUCGAUUUCUCUUCAACUCUACCUGUGCGGCUGACGGAGGCAAACGACGGAUGGCAAUUUUCGGCUAACGGCAGAAAUUUCAAGCCUAUUCUUCGACUCUUGAAGACCAAUUCUGCUCCAAUUUCUCUUCCAUUCAUCUUUUCGGUGGUUGGUGGCGCAAAGAAAGGUAGAACCUACGGUCUUGGAUCACAAUAUUCUGUAGGUUGUUCUAUGAUAUUGUUGUCUGGUAAUGCGAGUUAUUUGCAAAAUCACGAAGAGGUGGAAGCAUUACAAAAAGAAGUUGAAGAGUUGAAGGAGGAAUGGAAAGAAGAUCGCGCAAAUUUAACAAAUUACAAAGUCUAGUGGAGAAAUUUAUGAGCGGACGUCCAUUUGAUCCUUUGAAUGGCAAGGAUGACGGGGACAAUGAGUUUUAGUUUGUUGUGGUUAUGAUGUUUGAGAUAUUAUUAUUUGUUGUGGUUAGAUAUUUAGACUUGGUAAUAUUUACACUUGACUAUGUUUGUAAUGUUUUAGACUAGAUUGGAUGGUUCUUGAAUGUUUAACUCUUUUUGGAUGUUUUAGUUAUAAA